rnacentral:rRNA from 1 species
UACGUAGGGGGCUAGCGUUGUCCGGAUUUAUUGGGCGUAAAGAGCGUGUAGGCGGCCUUCUAAGUCGAACGUGAAAUCCCUGGGCUCAACCCAGGAACUGCGUCUGAUACUGGAUGGCUUGAGUUCGGGAGAGGGAUGCGGAAUUCCAGGUGUAGCGGUGAAAUGCGUAGAUAUCUGGAGGAACACCGGUGGCGAAGGCGGCAUCCUGGACCGACACUGACGCUGAGGAGCGAAAGCCAGGGGAGCAAACGGG